UACAGAGGGGGCAAGCGUUGUUCGGAAUUACUGGGCGUAAAGGGCGCGUAGGCGGCCUUCUAAGUCGAACGUGAAAUCCCCGGGCUCAACCCGGGAACUGCGUCCGAUACUGGAAGGCUUGAAUCCGGGAGAGGGAUGUGGAAUUCCAGGUGUAGCGGUGAAAUGCGCAGAUAUCGGGAGGAACACCGGUGGCGAAGGCGGUUCUCUGGGCCUUACCUGACGCUGAGGAGCGAAAGCGUGGGGAGCGAACAGG
rnacentral:rRNA from 1 species